CCCUGAGUUACAGAAACCCCUCUUCCCAGAGCUUUGAUGGGAUUUGGGGACAAAGGAGCCCCGCUUUUGGCGGGAUUUGGGGACAAAAGAGCCCUUCCUGGCUUUCCCUACUUGGACUACGCAGAAAACCCAGAGAAAGAACUUCACAUUUGAAAUUCCUCUGAUCUUCAGAUGGAGGCAUGGAGCUGGGAAAUUCUUCCCUUUGAAGCCACGCCUCUCGUGGACCCAGGAAAGAGAAGUUUCUUUAAUACAGUCGCUCACUCCCAUUCACAGAAGAAGGCAAAGGGGAGCUGGCAUGUGCAGAAAUCACAUGGCAAGAAAGGAAGCAAAAGACAGAGGAGAGGUACCAGGCUCUUUUUAACAGCCAGCCAGCUCUUGAGAAAACUAAAGGGGUUCAAUCACAAAGAAGAACGGGACAGAGCUAGAGAACAGAAAGCCUCUUUUGGUGACUCAAGUGUGCAGAAGGUAAUCAACUCUUCCUAAAUAUCAGACACAGGAUCUCUCUACGUUUCCCAGGCUGGUCUCGAACUUCUGAGCUCAAGCAGUUCUCCUGCCUUAGCUUCCCAAAAUGUGAGUAAAACAGGCAUAAACUACCAUGCCUGAAUAGUAUUGUUUUUGAUUUUUUGCUAUUAAAAACUAGAACAGUAUUUGAUUUUGUUAUUUCAGAAACACACAGCAAUGUAACCUGUAGAAAGCAAACAAUUUGCCUUUUUAAAAAAGAAUUCCAAGGAAGUUCUAUAGAUCCCUUUAUAAGAAAAUAAUUUCCAUUACAAAAUGAGGUCAAUUAUAUUUUGGUUGUGAAGUUGAUGUCUAAUCAUAUUUUACUUACCAUCUUUGCUUGGUUCUCUGUUUUAAUUACAGCUUCUCUCACAAGUCAUUUUUUUUUUCUUUCUCCAUAAGGAAAAUGUUUGCAGCUACAAUAAAUACAGUGACCAGGGAAUCUCA
rnacentral:lncRNA from 13 species